CCUACGGGCGGCAGCAGUGGGGAAUAUUGGACAAUGGGCGAAAGCCUGAUCCAGCCAUGCCGCGUGUGUGAAGAAGGCCUUCGGGUUGUAAAGCACUUUCAGUGGGGAAGAAAGCCUUGGGGCUAAUACCCUCGAGGAAGGACAUCACCCACAGAAGAAGCACCGGCUAACUCCGUGCCAGCAGCCGCGGUAAUACGGAGGGUGCGAGCGUUAAUCGGAAUUACUGGGCGUAAAGCGCGCGUAGGCGGUCUGAUAAGUCGGUUGUGAAAGCCCCGGGCUCAACCUGGGAACGGCAUCCGGAACUGUCAGGCUAGAGUGCAGGAGAGGAAGGUAGAAUUCCCGGUGUAGCGGUGAAAUGCGUAGAGAUCGGGAGGAAUACCAGUGGCGAAGGCGGCCUUCUGGACUGACACUGACGCUGAGGUGCGAAAGCGUGGGUAGCAAACAGGAUUAGAUACCCCAGUAGUC
rnacentral:rRNA from 1 species